GUCUUUUUGUUUAAAAUUUAAAGUCUAACCUGCCCAAUGAUUAUAUUUAAUGGCUGCAGUAUUUUGACUGUACAAAGGUAGCAUAAUCAUUAGUUUUUUAAUUGAAAACUUGUAUGAAUGGUUGAACGAGAAAAUUACUGUCUCAAUUUAAAUUUAUUAGAAUUUUAUUUUUAAGUUAAAAAGCUUAAAUAUAAUUAAAAGACGAGAAGACCCUAUAGAGUUUUAUAUUUAAUUUUUAUAUUAUAAAAGAAUUUUUAAAUAUUAAUUAAAUAUUUUAUUGGGGUGAUAAAUAAAUUUAAAAAACUUUAUUUUUUUUUUAACAUUAAUUUAUGUAAAAUUGAUCCAUUAAUUAUGAUUAAAAGAUUAAAUUACCUUAGGGAUAACAGCGUAAUUUUUUUAAAGAGUUCUUAUCGAUAAAAAAGAUUGCGACCUCGAUGUUGGAUUAAAAUUAAUUUUUGGUGUAGAAGCUAAAAUAUUAAGUCUGUUCGACUUUUAAUUUUUUACAUGAUCUGAGUUUAAAUCGGUGUGAGCCAGAUUGGUUUCUAUCUUUAAUAAUAUAAAAUAUUUUAGUACGAAAGGACCAAAUAUUGAUAAAAUUUAUUAUUUUUUGAAUAU
rnacentral:rRNA from 1 species